rnacentral:rRNA from 1 species
GUAACUAUAACGGUCCUAAGGUUAACUUAAUCGCUAGCCUUAGUAAAAUUGGGCUAUAUGCUGGAAAGUCCCAUGUAUCCGACGGUACCAAACAACUGGUAAAAAUCCGUUCGGUGGGGACAAUCAGCAGGAAAGGUUGGUGAUGGACAAUGGCAAAAUUUUUGCCAUUGGCGUGUCUCAGUAUUAUUGCUGAACCUCGACCUCUAAAACUUGUAAGAUGCAGUUAAUUCGUUUUAGUGGGGUAAGUAGAUAUCUGAGAGUAAUGCAUGAUACCGUGAGCCGUGAAUAGUUUCUGCAUCGGCUAAAAACGAUACCUCAUGGCGCGCCUCAAAUAACAUUACCAAAAUCCUCAGAGACUAUACGCCCAAUCCAUUAGAAAAUAAUGGAAUGAUAUAGUCCGAACUGUAUGGCGACAUAUAGAGCUCAGCAGAAAUGUUGAGACGCCUUGAAUUUUUUGGUCAAGGUUGUAACAGAAUUGAGCGAAAUUCCUUGUGGGGUAAGUUCCCACGCGCACGAAUGGUGUAACAACUUGGGCGCUGUCUCAAGGAGGAACUCGGCGAAAUUGUAGUGGCGGUGAAGAUGCCGUCUACCCGCACCAAGACGAAAAGACCCCAGAACCUUUACUGCAUUCUGGUAUUGGAUUUGGAUAUUGAUUGUGUAGGAUAGCUGGGAGGCUGUGAAGUUCCGGCGUUAGCCGGGAUGGAGCCAUCGGUGAAAUACCAGCCUGUUGAUGUCUAGAUUCUAACCUUGUUCUGUGAAUCCAGACAGGAAACAGUGCCAGAUGGGCAGUUUGACUGGGGCGGUUCCCUUCUAAAGAAUAACGAAGGGGUCCAAAGGUUCCCUCAGGACGGUCGGCAAUCGUCUGUAGAGUGCAAAGGCAUAAGGGAGCCUGACUGCGAGUCCGACAGGACGAGCAGGCACGAAAGUGGGGCUUAGUGAUCCGGUGGUUGAAUGUGGGAUUGCCAUCGCUCAACGAAUAAUAGGUACUCUGGGGAUAACAGGCUGAUCGCGCUCGAGAGUUCAUAUCGACAGCGCGGAUUGGCACCUCGAUGUCGGCUCAUCCUAUCCUGGGGCUGUAUAAGGUCCCAAGGGUCCGGCUGUUCGCCGGUUAAAAGGGUACGUGAGCUGGGUUUAGAACGUCGUGAGACAGUUCGGUCUCUAUCUGGUGUGGGCGCACGAUCAUUGAAGAAAAGAUCUCCCUAGUACGAGAGGACCGGGAGAUACGAACCUCUGGUGUUCCAGUUAUCCUGCCAAGGGUAAUGGCUGGGUAGCCAUGUUCGGAAGGGAUAAGCGCUGAAUGCAUAUAAGCGCGAAGCCUAUUUCAAGAUGAAUGAUCGAUCCCCCGCAAGGGGGUGCAGGCACGUUGUAGACUACGACGUUGAUAGGCUGGGUGUGUAAGAUCCGUAAGGAUUUAAGCUAACCAGUACUAAUCUGCCGAACGCUUGAUCAU